GAUUCUGCUAGCUCGGUGGAAGAUGUCAAAACCUGCUGAUAUCUAACAGAGGCAACUCCAAGUUUGUGUAUCCCGGUCCAGUCUACCUUUCCAUCAGGCGGUACAUGUGGAAAUAGAAAAGCAGCUCUCUAAUUAAUCAAAGUCAGAUGUGCCUGAACGCCUGGAGUUGCUGCUGAUCCUUGUCCCAGCUUCUCCCAUGUUCUCGCUCUAUGUUUUUACCUUGAAAACUUCUGCUCUGAGCUGGGAAUGCCUGAAGGGCUUGCACGUAUGGGCAUACCAGUGGGAAGAAAAUAAUGAGCAUCACCAGCUCUGGGUUUGCCCAUAAAGGCCCUCAGAAUCUUGUUUCAUAAUCAAGGAGAGUCUACUUUGGACACAUCUAUCUCUUACUGUCUGUGGUAGUUUUGUAACUUGGACCUUUAUAAACGCUCUGUAAGUUUGGUAAGAGGGACUGAACCCAACCCACGAAAUAAGCACAAUAUGGAUUUGAUUCCAUAGUCAACUUAUGGAUGCUACACAUUAGUUGAGUCAUGUUCCUGAAAUAAUUACUAGCGCUCUCCUUACUAAAGAACUGCUGACAAUUUUCAGCUUUGUCUUGUACGUGCAUGUGUGUAUGGCCUCCAUGCUAACAUAAACCAG
rnacentral:lncRNA from 12 species